GCCGCGUGCCAAGCUCCGAGCUCCGCGGCUCACCUGCGGCCCCUCCCCGCGCCAGGUGUAUAACUGUGCCGUGAAAACACAGUUUUGCUACCCCAGGAAGAGGACUCAUAUGUAACUGAGAUUAAUAUUGCAAUAACCUGAGGCAUCUCGGACACUACCCGUGGGGACCCGUGGAUGAGCGCGGCACCAGCUGCUUCCCACUCGGGAACCUACCUCCUGACUGACAAAUGUAUUCCUGAAGAGAAAACCUCACAGACAUGGGCAUCAGAAGAGGGGCCCAUGGACAUCCGAAGCAGCACUGCUGGGAAGCAGAAGCCUGGGGAGGAGUGAAGAGAGGACAGCACCCUCACCCUUUCACCAUUUCUUGGCAGUGAAAAAAAAUGGGCACGCUGCAGAUUUUGAUCCAGCGUUGAAAAAGAAAAAGCAAAACCCAUGCGUUUAUAUUAAGCUCGGAGGAAGGUGUCAACCUCAGCAACAUGCAGAUAAGGGAUUCAUAAGCAUGUAGAAAUGUACACAGAGAACCAGGAAAUCAUAUAGCAUCCUUAUCCUCACAGGAGCCAAGACUUCUAGGGAAUGCCUGAAAUCACAGAUGAUACCAGCCACACUGUAAUGGUUUUCCUAUGCAUGCUUAAGAUAAAGCUUAAUUUAUAAAGUAGGCACAGUAACCGUAGCUAAGAAUCCAGGGCUGACAGUGGCAAUCAAUGAUAGCAUGUACAUUUAGCACUUAUAGAUCCCUGGAGUCAAUCACUUACACAGAAAACAAACAAAGCCGAAUGAAAUAGAGCAAGGGAGGAGGUCUGCGCCCAUGAUCCCUGGACUUGGGAGGCUGAGACAGCAGGGUUGCCAAGGACUAGAGGCCAGCCUAAGCUACACAGUGAGUUCCAGGCCAGCCCAAAAUACAGGGGGAAAAGAGAGGUAGAGACAAUCACAUACGGUGAUACAAUUGCCAGCUGUAGGACAUUUGUACUUUGGGGCCAUUGAGAAACUAGGGACAACUUAAAGACAAGAACUGUGAUACCACACGGCCUAUCUGGGGACAGAGAUGGCCAAGUAGUUAGCAGGCAGAAGCUACAUCACGUGGAUACACAGGACAAGAUGAUUCAGGUCCUGGGUCGGAUGGCACGAGAGUCAGUUACACUAUUCAGAAGAGCGUGUACCUUUAAAUGGACGAGUUACUUGGUCCUGGGAUUUUUUUUUUCCCAUUUAGCAUCUUUGGGUCAGAGUUGACCACAGAUAACUGAGAUUGCGAAACCCAAAUCUUGGAGAAGUGAGACCCUCGUAAACACAAUAUUGGAGACCAUGUUUAUUUACCUUUAUGGAGAGGGAUGCAAUAUGAUGGGGAAUGGGGAAGGGUUAAAAAAGUAUUUCACGAUGUCCUGGUUCUAAAAAUGAAUGCUUGGGAGCUGAGGGUGUAGCUCAGUGACUGACAGCCUGCAUGCAUACCGAAGGGUUUAAGCCGUACAGAUAUAAACUCUCCAUACAUGGGUGCUUACUUUAUAAUUCUUUAUUUACACAUAUGUCUAAAUGUGAUAAUCAUACUUCCUCCGAGGAAAAUCCACCAAGGCAGAGCCUGUUGUGAGUUGGAAGCUCCUAACCAAGGGGAGGGGUCUUCUGUCAUUUCCCAGCCAAAGGUCACCCCUCUUCUUCCCUCUCUUGAGGUUCUGAGUCAACCCACAACAGACAGGCAGGCUCUG